UACGAACCGUCCAAACGUUAUUCGGAAUCACUGGGCUUAAAGGGUACGUAGGCGGCGCUGUUAGUCGGGUGUGAAAUCCCUCGGCUCAACCGAGGAAUUGCGUCCGAUACUGCAGUGCUUGAGGGAGACAGAGGUAAGCGGAACUGAUGGUGGAGCGGUGAAAUGCGUUGAUAUCAUCAGGAACACCGGUGGCGAAAGCGGCUUACUGGGUCUCUUCUGACGCUGAGGUACGAAAGCUAGGGGAGCGAAGGGG
rnacentral:rRNA from 1 species